rnacentral:rRNA from 1 species
UACGUAGGGGGCAAGCGUUGUCCGGAAUCAUUGGGCGUAAAGGGCGUGUAGGCGGCCCGGUAAGUCCGCUGUGAAAGUCCAGGGCUCAACCCUGGGAUGCCGGUGGAUACUGUCGGGCUCGAGUCCGGAAGAGGCGAGUGGAAUUCCUGGUGUAGCGGUGAAAUGCGCAGAUAUCAGGAGGAACACCAAUGGCGAAGGCAGCUCGCUGGGACGUGACUGACGCUGAGACGCGAAAGCGUGGGGAGCAAACAGG